rnacentral:rRNA from 1 species
AUGGUUUUACCAGGUGUGGUUGGAUUCAAGCUCACCGGAAAGUUACAGGAUGGUGUCACUACUACAGACCUUGCCCUUACUUUGACCCAGAUGCUAAGGAAGCAUGGUGUUGUUGGCAAAUUUAUUGAAUUCCACGGUGAGGGUGUGGGCAGCAUCCCUUUGCCUGCUAGAGCCACAAUCGCAAACAUGACUCCAGAAUAUGGCGCUACCAUGGGAUUUUUCCCUGUAGAUCAAGUGGGAUUAGAUUACCUCAGACUAAUAGGGCGAAGUGAUGAAACAGUAUCAAUGAUUGAAGCAUAUUUGCGAGCUAACAAGAUGUUUGUGGACUGCAAUGAGCCUCAAACGGGACCAGUUUACUCUUCAGAUCUUGAGCUGGACCUUACUACGGUGGAGCCUUCUGUUGCCGGCCCAAAGAGGCCUCAUGACCGGGUUCCUUUGAAGGAGAUGAAAUCUGAUUGGCAUGCUUGCCUCGGCAAUGAGGUUGGUUUCAAGGGUUAUGCAGUGCCUAAGGAACAACAUAAUAAAAUUGUGAAAUUUGACUACCAUGGACAACCCGCUGAAAUCACACAUGGCAGUGUGGUUCUUGCAGCAGUAUGCAGUUCCACAAACUCAUCAAAUCCUAGCGUUAUGAUUGGUGCUGGCCUUGUGGCAAAAAAAGCCUGCGAAUUGGGUCUUGAGGUGAAGCCAUGGGUUAAGACAAGCCUGGCCCCUGGAUCUUUGGUUGUCACCAAAUACUUGGAACACAGUGGCCUUCAAGAAUAUUUGAACCAUCAAGGCUUCCAUCUUGUCGGAUAUGGUUGUACCACUUGUAUCGGCAACUCCGGCGACCUUGAUAAAUCUUUAUCAGAUGCUAUUGUAGAUAACGAUGUUGCUGUUGUUGCUGUGUUGUCGGGCAACCGUAACUAUGAGGGUCGUGUGCACCCUCUAACUCGAGCUAACUACCUCGCCUCACCACCUUUUGUUGUUGCAUAUGCUCUUGCUGGCACCGUUGACAUUGAUUUUGAGAACGAACCUAUUGGAAUUGGAAAGGAUGGCAAGGAGGUUUACUUCAAGGAUGUAUGGCCCACAAAUGAAGAAAUCGAGCAGGUUAUCAAGUCCAACGUGUUGCCGAAGAUGUUCGUGGACACGUAUGGUUCCAUCACGGAGGGCAACGACGCAUGGAACAAUUUAGUGGUCCCGAAAGAGACGCUCUACCCAUGGGAUCCAAAAUCCACCUACAUCCACAAGCCGGCGUACCUGGAAAAUAUAACCAUGACCCCGCCCGGCCCGCCCUCAGUGAAGGAUGCCUACUGCCUACUAAGCCUAGGGGACAACAUCACCACCGACCACAUCUCUCCCUCAGGGGUCAUCAAGCCAGGAACCCCUGCCGCCAAGUAUCUGCUGGAGCGCGGCGUGAAGCCCGAGAACUUCACCACAUAUGGCAGCCGACGUGCCAACGACGAGAUCGUUGUGAGAGGGGCGUUUGCCAACAUUAGGAUUGUGAACAAGCUUUUGGAGGGAGAGGUGGGGCCUAAAACCAUCCAUGUCCCUACGGGGGAGAAGCAUUACGUUUUCGACGCUGCCAUGAAAUACAAGUCGGAGGGUCAUGACAUGGUCAUUCUUGCCGAUGAUGAGUACGGAGCCGGGAGCUCCCGUGAUAGCGCCGCCAAGGGGCCAUUGCUCCUGGGCGUCAAGGCAGUGAUCGCUAAGGGCUUCGAGCGCAUCCACCGGAGUAACUUGGUGGGGAUGGGGAUCAUCCCUCUCCGCUUCAAGGUUGGCGAGGAUGCAGAUUCACUCAACCUCAGUGGGCAUGAGCGUUUCACGAUCGACCUCCCUGGCAAGAUUACCGAGAUCCGUGCAGGCCAAGAUGUGACCGUUACGACACAAAAUGGGAAAUCCUUCACUUGCACACUUAGCAUUAACACGCAAGUGGAGCUGGAAUACUUUAACCAUGGAGGCAUCCUCCCCUACCUUAUCCGCAAAUUGGCAUGA